AAUGCAAAUCAGCCUCAAGCUCAGAGUGAAAGUCCAGGCCUAGCUGAGCAGCCCCAUCUCCUUCUCACUCCAGCCUAGAGCAGAGCAUGGCUGUCCUGGUGCUGCUCCUCUGCCUGGUGACCUUUCCAAGCUGUGUCCUGUCACAGGUGCAGCUGAGGGAGUCAGGACCUGGCCUGGUGCAGCCAACACAGACCCUGUCUCUCACCUGCACUGUCUCUGGGUUCUCAUUAUCCGACUAUGAUGUGCACUGGAUCCGCCAGCCUCCAGGAAAGGGGCUUGAGUGGAUGGGAGCCAUAUGGUAUGAUGGAAAAACAUACUAUAAUUCAGCUCUCCAAUCCCGAAUAAGCAUCAGCAGGGACACCUCCAAGAGCCAAGUUUUCUUAAAACUGAACAAUGUGCAAACUGAGGACACAGCCAUGUAUUACUGUACCAGACACACAGUGAGUUAA